rnacentral:rRNA from 2 species
GUUUGAUCCUGGCUCAGGACGAACGCUGGCGGCGUGCCUAAUACAUGCAAGUCGAACGAGUUUGCUUUUAAUGAAGGCGGUGCUUGCACCAACUGAUUUAAAAAUAAACGAGUGGCGGACGGGUGAGUAACACGUGGGUAACCUACCCUAAAGUGGGGGAUAACAUUUGGAAACAGAUGCUAAUACCGCAUAAUAUUAAAAACCACAUGGUUUUUAAUUGAAAGACGGCGUAAGCUGUCACUUUUGGAUGGACCCGCGGCGUAUUAGCUAGUUGGUGAGGUAACGGCUCACCAAGGCGAUGAUACGUAGCCGACCUGAGAGGGUGAUCGGCCACAUUGGGACUGAGACACGGCCCAAACUCCUACGGGAGGCAGCAGUAGGGAAUCUUCCACAAUGGACGAAAGUCUGAUGGAGCAACGCCGCGUGAGUGAAGAAGGUUUUCGGAUCGUAAAACUCUGUUAUUGGAGAAGAACGUAUUUGGUAGUAACUGGCCAGAUAGUGACGGUAUCCAAUCAGAAAGCCACGGCUAACUACGUGCCAGCAGCCGC